rnacentral:tRNA from 1 species
GGUAUAGCUCAAGUGGUAGAGCGCAUGCUUAGCAUGCACAAGGUCCUGGCUUCAAUUCCCAGUACC